UUCCCAAAAUGCAACGCGAAUCUAUUGCGUGCUCUAUAUUGUGAAUACAACUUUUCCUGCGCCCCACAGAUGCAGAUCCUCACAGCAGGACCAUCUGUGUUCUGAUGGGUAUUGAUCCAUUUCUUCCCAAUGAUGCUCGAGGAGGGAGGUGAUAGAUUGAAAUCCCUUGGAGGAGUUUAUGGAAGGAGACACAUUGCUCACCACAGAGCUGGUAGUGCCUGACGACACUCCUGGGCACAAGACCCACUAUUGUCCCACGAGAUAAAGUGUGUUUGUGACCAACACAAGGCGGGGAGGACCAGAUGUUGUGACAUGAUAAGGGGGUGUCAAAGAAACAAGGCUUUUUGUCUCUCGUUGGCUUCAGUCAAGUCGUUAGAUGAAGGUUUCAGCGGACUCCAUUUUCAACUGUUUAUAAGAUGUAAAAUGUCAGACGAGGUUGUCUUUCCUUCAUCCUCCUCCUCCUCCUUCACAGCUAAUUGACUGCAAGUGUUCAUUUGCCUGGAGGAGCAGUCAUUAAAGCUGAAUUACAAAUUUCAGCUCGGCAAUAGAGCAGCCAGGGAUCAAUGGGUUAAUUCAAUUGCCCCGGCAUGUGGUGUGUUGUAUAGCAGGGCAAUUGAAGUUCUUUAGAUGGGAGUCGCACAGUUUCACUGUGUUUAAAAGUGCAAUGAGAUGGCAUGGGGGCAAUGUAAUUAAAAAAAUAAAACCCAAUUUAAAACAAUUACACUGUCACAUACAGAUCUCUCCUCUACUUCUUACAUUUCCACUCAGUUGUCAUAGUUUGAUUUAUGAAAGUAAAUCAAAUAAAUAUAAAAAUACAGUCAGUAUAUCUCAAACCUUAUUUACAAAAUGUUUUUUAAUUUAAGUGUUUUUUUUAUUAUUCAUUUUAUUAAGCUUUAAAUGGGAAAAAAAGUAUUUCACCUCCAAAAAAUAUAUAUACCAUAAUGUUUUUUCUACUUUUAAGUGAAAAAGAUUAGUCUUGAUAGUCUCAAAAAAAUUUUAGUUAAAAAAAACAAAACUUCCUGAAAUUAGCUAAAAACACUUAUAUUUGGGUAUAUUUGUCUUAAAAUUUGGCUGUUUUUCUUUAAAAAAAAAAAAGUCUUUAGGUAUAUUUAUUCACAUCUGCCCCAAAACAUUCUCUUUUAAACUCCACAACUGUCCAACUAUUCUUAUUUCUAGACAAUUACAUAUUUUAAGAUAUUUUUUUUCUUAGAAAUUAAAUCCAUGUUUACUUUUCAAACUUGUCCUGCUGCUGUUAAUUGCAUUUUUACCAUGUAAAGAGUCAAAUUAAACUUUAAUAAGACUACUUUUUCGUUAUGAUUACUUUUGUUUAAAGUGAUUAAAUAAUGUAUUUACAAGUUCGCCGUAUUUUAAUGCAUAAUACCUCAACUUGAGGUAUUACUUAAAACGUUUUCAAGAUCAAAUGACUAAAAAUAUUCAGACUUUAGUGUCUUAAAACAAGUCGUUAUAGAUCUCACUGGAAAAUUACUAAUAAGUUAGUAUUCUAUAAGUUUUAAUAAGAUAAUUAAACAAAAAAAAGCCAAAAAUCCUUGAUGAGAUUUGUUCUUUUGCAGUGUACAUGUUUUCAUUUCACUGCAGAGGAUGUGAGAAAGGAUUUUCUUUAAUCCCCCAAAAUAUCAAACAAACUGUUUUUCACUUAACACUGCAAGCCACAUCCAGAAAUGUAAUCUGAUACUACAUUUCCCAGAGGGAAGACGUGGCUCAGCUCUGAGCAGAAAGUUUGUAAAGUUUUCUGGACUCAAGGUCGUCUCAGAUAGAGGUUCUACAGUCAAAUAGGUCCACCUUUCGGUCUGUUGACUCCAGAGAUGCUAAAAUCUUGUAUUUACUGAGAAUUGGAGCAAACUUGAAAAGCACUAACACGGUAUCAUCAGUUCCAACAAUAAAAAUGAAUGCUUCUUUAGGCUCAGCACGUUUGAGACACUGUAAAAGUGCAUUAUACCAUUUUGUUAUUAUUUCCAUCUGUUGCAUUUUGUUUAAAAGUUUUAUACCACAUUUUUUAAGAGGCAAACAUGUAUUUUAGAUCUUAAUUUUGAGUUUUUGAAUAAUGAGCCAACAGCUUCCUCUGACUUUUAAUACUACUCUGAAACCAUUUUUUUAAACUCUAAAUAUUUAAAAUCAAAGCAGAUUUUCUGUGCUUCACAAUUUAUCCAUCUACCUCAACGUGUCUUUAAUCAA